CACAGGAUCUACUUUCCUUCCUGCUAGUCAUCUAGUCGCCAUUUUGGACGCGGUGAAAAGUGCACACGGUGUUUCGUCGCUCCGCAUAAUUACAGAUUUCUAAGAAUUUCUACAUACAGAGCGUUUGGGUUAAGUCUGGGUUGCGUCUGGAUUGUAACUACUUCAUUUGGACUACUUCAUUUUCAACUUACUUCGAUAUCAACUUAUUUCAUUUUCAACUUCCUACAAAUCAUCCUUCUUCAAUAUCGAGUUACAUGGAGUACGAGUGUUUUGGAGCCAUCGCAGAACUUCUUAAGUAGUGAUCAUCGUUGGAUCUGUUAACAUCAGGCUUUUUCGAUAUUCCUUCUGUGCACAAUCACUCUCCACAUGCAGCAAUCUCCAUGCGGUGGGACCUAGGUCGGUAUUACUUGUGAUCUAUUAAUAUGUAAUUAUGAAUUAUUUAAUUAUUAUUAUUCUGAUAGUAUUAUUUUUGAUAAUACUAUACAACUAAUACCAGUUAUGGCGAAUGGCUGCUUAUUUCAGUGCGUUUUCAAAAUAUUUUCUUUACAAUUUUAACUUAGAGUAGUAAAGUAUCUUAAAUUUUAUAUUUUCAAUUAUAUUUCAGUAGAUAAAUAGAUC